rnacentral:lncRNA from 1 species
AUGUGGCUUUUCCCCUGUGUGGGUCCUUUGAUGGAUACGCAGACCUGUAUUGCGACUGAAGCUCUUUCCACAUUCCAUGCAGUUAUGGGGCUUCGCUCCUGUGUGGGUCCUUUCAUGGAUACGCAGACUUGUAUUCCGACUGAAACUCUUUCCACAUUCCAUGCAUUUAUGUGGCUUCUCCCCUGUGUGGGUCCUUUGAUGGAUACGCAGACUUGUAUUGCGACUGAAGUUCUUUCCACAUUCCAAGCAUUUAUAUGGCUUCUCCCCUGUGUGAAUCGUUUGAUGGGAACGCAGAUGUCCACUCGCACUGAAGCUCUUUCCACAUUCCAGGCAUUUAUGUGGCUUCUCCCCUGUGUGGGUCCUUUGAUGGGUACGCAGCUUUCCAAUCUCACUGAAGCUCUUUCCACAUUCCAAGCAUUUAUGUGGUUUCUCUCCUGUGUGGAUACUUUGAUGGGCACGCAAAUUGUGACUGUGACUGAAGCUCUUUCCACAUUCCAAGCAUUUAUGUGGCUUCUCCCCUGUGUGAAUCCUUUGAUGGGAACGCAGCUUUCCACUCUUACUGUAGCUCUUUCCACAUUCCAGGCAUUUAUGUGGCUUCUCCCCUGUGUGCGUCCUUUGAUGAAUACGCAGAGUCGCACUGUGACUGAAGCUCUUUCCACAUUCCAAGCAGUUAUGUGGCUUCUCCCCUGUAUGUGUCCUUUGAUGACUACGCAGACUAUCACUGCGACUGAAGCUCAGCCCACAUUCCAUGCAGUUAUGUGGUUUCUCCCCUGUAUGUGUCUUUUGAUGAUUACGCAGAUUCCCACUGUGACUGAAGCUCUUUCCACAUUCUAUGCAGUUGUAUGGCUUCUCCCCUGUAUGUGUCUUUUGAUGAGUACGCAGAUUCCCACUGCGACUGAAGCUCUUUCCACAUUCCACACAUUUAUAUGGCUUCUCCCCUGUGUGAGUUUGUUGAUGUUUAGUAAGGGAACUUCUCCCACUGGAACAUUUCCCGCAGUCCAUACAAUUAUGUAG